ACAAGCAGCUAUAUCACCCUGCAACCCACUGAAGUUAAGCAGGUGUAAGUCUGGCCAGUACCUGGAUGGGAGACCUCCUGGGAAAGCUAAGAUUGCUGCUGGAA
rnacentral:rRNA from 1 species